rnacentral:rRNA from 1 species
AUUGAACGCUGGCGGCAGGCCUAACACAUGCAAGUCGAGCGGAUGAGUGGAGCUUGCUCCAUGAUUCAGCGGCGGACGGGUGAGUAAUGCCUAGGAAUCUGCCUGGUAGUGGGGGACAACGUUUCGAAAGGAACGCUAAUACAGCAUACGUCCUACGGGAGAAAGCAGGGGACUUUCGGGCCUUGCGCUAUCAGAUGAGCCUAGGUCGGAUUAGCUAGUAGGUGAGGUAAUGGCUCACCUAGGCGACGAUCCGUAACUGGUCUGAGAGGAUGAUCAGUCACACUGGAACUGAGACACGGUCCAGACUCCUACGGGAGGCAGCAGUGGGGAAUAUUGGACAAUGGGCGAAAGCCUGAUCCAGCCAUGCCUCGUGUGUGAAGAAGGUCUUCGGGUUGUAAAGCACUUUAAGUUGGGAGGAAGGGCAGUAAGCUAAUACCUUGCUGUUUUGACGUUACCGACAGAAUAAGCACCGGCUAACUCUGUGCCAGCAGCUGCCGUAACAC